AGGAGCCCGUGGUCCAAAACAAACGAGGAGAAGUGAGAAAAAGCACGGCGCCAUUUCCAUUCAUUGCAUUUCUACUGGUCCUACCAAAAGAAAAUAAGGGUAUUAGCACCCCCCUUUUCUUUAUUUGUAAUUUUACUGUAGUGAUCUUCUGAACUUUGAAUUAUACUAAAAACAGUUCCUGAAAGAUAUCCUGUAAUUGGAAAUUCUAAUCAGAGGCAUUGUGUUCAAGGGGGAACUAGGAAACGGAAGUCUAUGACCAGGAGUUGAUAAGUGCUUCUGAGACGAUGACAACAACAUAAAGCCUUCCAACGGGAAGAAUUGCAGGGCAAUAAGGAAAUCAAAGAAGGCACACGGGGAGUCGGAGAGCUGUUUGUACUCAUGCCCAGAGUCUGCAGCCCUGGUCUGUGACCCUGUGACCCAGGCUCCUGAACAGUGUGGCUGUUAACUUGACAUCUGAGAGGAAGGAACCUCAAAAUUGAGAAAAUGCUGCCAUAAGAUUGAUCUGUAGCCGGGCGAUGGUGGCACACGCCUUUAAUCCCAGCACUCGGGAGGCAGAGGCAGGUGCUCUACUACUGAACUAUGGCCCAAGCCCCAGGAGAAGCUUCUAGAAGCUGCUUGACCCUAUCCUGGCUCCGCAGGCAUCCAGGCAUCAGGCAGACAAUGCCCCAACUGUAAGAGGGCAUCUUUGGAGUAAAAUUACCCAACCCAGUCCACAGAUGCUGUGGUAUAGCUGGCUCAUCAUGGAACAUUUGCUGCACUUCCUUCCAGAAAGGGCCAGGCACAUUGGCUCCAAACAGGCAGUUCCAAAAAGCAACUUAAUGGUGGAAUUCCUGACGGCUUCUCAGCACAUCCCAUUUUAAUCAAACAAGCUGAUCAUAUUCAUGCAAUGGAGGACUCAGAUGGCAUAUGCUACCUCCACUCCGACAUUUUUGAGAAAUCUUUUAUUAGAAGAUGUCCCAGAAGGCAACAGUUUAAAAUCAAGCAAUUAAUGAUUACAACUAAAUACAAACUUCCAGGUAAACUUGCCUUUCAAAAUAAACCAAACCCUUGCAACAGGA